GGCCUGAUGGUGUAGUGGUUACACAUCCUCUGAAUUUGCCGUGUGGACAAACUCUUUGAGGAAGUCCCCGGUUCGAAUCCGGGUCAGGCCA